AUUGAACGCUGGCGGCAGGCCUAACACAUGCAAGUCGAGCGGAUGAAGGGAGCUUGCUCCUGGAUUCAGCGGCGGACGGGUGGGUAAUGCCUAGGAAUCUGCCUGGUCGUGGGGGCUAACGUCCGGAAACGGGCGCUAAUACCGCAUACGUCCUGAGGGAGAAAGUGGGGGAUCUUCGGACCUCACGCUCUCAGAUGAGCCUAGGUCGGAUUAGCUAGUUGGUGGGGUAAAGGCCUACCAAGGCGACGAUCCGUAACUGGUCUGAGAGGAUGAUCAGUCACACUGGAACUGAGACACGGUCCAGACUCCUACGGGAGGCAGCAGUGGGGAAUAUUGGACAAUGGGCGAAAGCCUGAUCCAGCCAUGCCGCGUGUGUGAAGAAGGUCUUCGGAUUGUAAAGCACUUUAAGUUGGGAGGAAGGGCAGUAAGUUAAUACCUUGCUGUUCUGACGUUACCAACAGAAUAAGCACCGGCUAACUUCGUG
rnacentral:rRNA from 1 species